CUAACUCCUGGGAACCACUGAUUUUUUUUUCUAUUUCUAUAGUAUUACCUUUUCCAGAAGGUCAUAAAGUUGGAAGUGACAUACGUAGCCUUUUUAGAUUGGCUUCUUUCAUUCUGCAAUAUGCAUGUAAGCUUCCACUGUGUCUUUUCAUGGCUUGACAGCCAUUUAUUUUAUCAUUGAAUGGUAUUCAGUUGUCUGGAUGUAAUACAGUUUGUUUAAUUAUUCACCUACUGAAGGUAAUCUUGCUUGUCUCCAAAUUUUUGCAAUUAUAAAUAAAACGUCCAUAAACAUCUGUGUGCAGGUUUCUGUGUGGACAUAAGUUUUCAACUCCUUUGGGUAUAUACCAAGAAACAAGAUUGCGGGGUCGUAUAAUAAGAGUAGAUUUAGUUUUCUAAGAUGCCACAAAACUAUUCUCCAUUUUGUAUUUCCAUCAGCACUGAAUGAGAGUUCCUGUUGCUUCACAUCCUCAUCAGCAUUUGGUGUUGUCAGAGUUCUGGAUUUUUGCCAUUCUAAUAUGCAUGCAGUAGUAUCUCAUUGCAGUGCUGUGUUUGAGAAUGUGAGUAGCUGCAGUUCAUUCACUCUUAGUGCUGCGAGGUACUCUAUUAUUGGAAUAUAUGAUCAUUUAGUUACCUAUUCCACAAUCUACCCAUAUUGAGAGAUAACUGGAUUGUUUCCAGGUUUUUAAAAUUGUGAACAUUCUCAUAUAUCCCUAGGUAAACAAAUGCAAGAAUUUUUCUGGGGCCUGUAACAGGCUGACUAGAUUGCACUAGGUUGUAGUGAAGCCACUGGGUCAUAGGGUACAUGCAUGAUCAGCUGUAUGAGCUAACAUCCGUUUUCCAAAUGGCUGUCCUUCUACUUGCAUGGGAUGAAUGCUUCCACGGUUCUUUAUCCUUGCCAAUACUACACCUUUCAGAACUUCCAAAAAAUUUUGUCAAUAUGUGUGAAAGGGUAUCUAAUUGUUAAUUUUCAUUUUCAUGAUUAUUAUUAGGUUGAGCACUUUUUCACAUGCUUAUGGGCUAUUUAUGCUAACUUCUUGAGGUGUUAUUUUUCACUUAUUAAUUUAUAGGAGAGCUUUAUAUAUUCUGGAUACUAAACCUGUCUAGGUAACAUGUGUUGCAAAUAUCUCUGCCAAGUUUUGCAUAUUUUUUUCUCAUUGCGGUAUCCAAUAAACAGAAGUCUUAAAUUUUUAUGUGAUCAAGUUAGUUUUUACUCUUGCCGUUUGUUCUUCUUCCCUAUGUAAAGAUAAAAGAGAUGCUCCACAGUUUUUUUCUAAGAAUGUUGAGAAGGUAUCUUUAUCCAUUAAAAUAUAUUUUUAGGUUUGGUCUAUGGGAUUAAGUUUCAAUUUCCUUUUUUCCCCCUUAUGGAGACCAGUGGUCCCAGUGUUGCUUAUUGUAAAAUUUACUAUCUUCACUUAACCACAAGAAAAGCUGUGUUACAAAAUAUGUUUCCAAGUAUGUGUGAAAAAUAUAUUUAUCUUUAUGAUUCUACUCAGAUUAAUUAGCUCUCAGGACUGCUGUGUCCAGAGUUGAUUCCUUCUGGUGGGUUCGUGGUGUUGCUGACUUGAAGAAUGAAGCCGCCGACCUUCACGAGCGCUGAUUGGUGUGUUUUACAGAGCAUGGAUUGGUGCGUUUUACAGAGCGCUGAUUGGUACAUUUCACAGAACUCGUGAGACAGUCGCAGGUGGCAUGAUUUGAUUUGUGUGAAGGCAAUGAAAUGAUACACAGAUACACCGAAGCCUCCCAAAAGAAUCCUGGUUCCAAGAUUCAAGAAGAUGGAUUAAUGUUUUUCCAUUAAUUGUUGGAAUUUAUGCCAUUUUUUUACUAUGUGCCAUCAAUUUUAAAGCACUUCUGAAAAGAGAUAACAAUCUACAAUAGCUGGCAUUUUAAAUUCAUAAAAAUAUAGUAUUUUCUUCUAUUUUUAUACAUUUAUGAUGCAUUAUUUCUUAUUUCCCAGGAAUUUUACUACCUUUGUUUUGAAUGAUUAAAAAGGAAACAUAGCACCUUUUUUCAACACAUCACCAAGAUAGCCUAGUUAAUAUUCUUCUCUUUCUGAAGUAGUUGAAUUGGGAUAGACAGCUUGCCAGGCCUGCUGCCACUUGUCAGCAUCGCAUCCCUACAUUCAACCACACUUGCAUCUAACGACCGUCUCUUUCAUUAAAUUUCUUUUGCACCUUUUCUUCCUGAAUGAGUGCAUGAUAGUUAAUUUUCCUGUGCACUUGCAUGUCUCAAGAAGGUUUUAAUUCUUUUUGUAUUGCAUUAAUAUUUAAGUUAAGUUUAUAAUUGCAAAAUGAUUUA
rnacentral:lncRNA from 1 species